CGUGUAGGCGUUCAGGUAAGUGGAAUGUGAAAGCCCUCGGCUCACCCGAGGAUCUGCAUUCCAAACUGCCUGGCUUGAGUAUGGGAGAGGAUGAGGGAAUUCCUGGUGUAGCGGUGAAAUGCGUAGAUAUCAGGAGGAACACCGGUGGCGAAGGCGCUCAUCUGGCCCAAUACUGACGCUGAGGCGCGAAAGCUAGGGGAGCAAACG
rnacentral:rRNA from 1 species